UGCAUAGUCUAGUGGUAUGAUUCCUGCUUUGAGUGCAGGAGGUCCCGGUACAAUCCCGGGUAUGUAAU
rnacentral:tRNA from 1 species